rnacentral:rRNA from 1 species
CCUACGGGAGGCAGCAGUGAGGAAUAUUGGUCAAUGGGCGCGAGCCUGAACCAGCCAAGUCGCGUGAGGGAUGACGGUCCUACGGAUUGUAAACCUCUUUUGCCGGGGAGCAAGCGUGCGUUCGUGAACGCGCGUCGAGAGUACCCGGAGAAAAAGCAUCGGCUAACUCCGUGCCAGCAGCCGCGGUAAUCCGGAGGAUGCGAGCGUUAUCCGGUGUUAUUGGGUUUAAAGGGUGCGUAGGCGGGAUGCCAAGUCAGCGGUAAAAAUGCGGUGCUCAACGCCGUCGUGCCGUUGAAACUGGGGUGCUGGAGUGGGCGAGAAGUAAGCGGAAUGCGUGGUGUAGCGGUGAAAUGCAUAGAUAUCACGCAGAACUCCGAUUGCGAAGGCAGCAUACCGGCGCCCUACUGACGCUGAGGCACGAAAGCGUUGGUAGCGAACAGGAUUAGAUACCCUGGUAGUC